rnacentral:rRNA from 1 species
GACGAACGCUGGCGGUGUGCCUAAUACAUGCAAGUCGAACGAAGCUGUUUUAGCUGUGCUUGCACCGACUUAAACAACUGAGUGGCGAACGGGUGAGUAACACGUGGACAACCUGCCUCAAGGCUGGGGAUAACAUUUGGAAACAGAUGCUAAUACCGAAUAAAACUCAGUGUCGCAUGACACAAAGUUAAAAGGCGCUUUGGCGUCACCUAGAGAUGGAUCCGCGGUGCAUUAGUUAGUUGGUGGGGUAAAGGCCUACCAAGACAAUGAUGCAUAGCCGAGUUGAGAGACUGAUCGGCCACAUGGGGACGGAGACACGGCCCAAACUCCUACGGGAGGUUGCAGUAGGGAAUCUUCCACAAUGGGCGAAAGCCUGAUGGAGCAACGCCGCGUGUGUGAUGAAGGCUUUCGGGUCGUAAAGCACUGUUGUAUGGGAAGAACAGCUAGAAUAGGGAAUGAUUUUAGUUUGACGGUACCAUACCAGAAAGGGACGGCUAAAUACGUGCCAGCAGCCGCAGUAA